ACAGCCCUUACCGUGCCGAGCCGUGCCCACCAGCCCUCUUCUCUUCUCCGCUUCUCUCCGCUCGCCCGGGUGCAGCCACCGUCAGCAGGAUCGGGUAUUUCAGACAAAAUACAAGAACAAUAAAAUGAUCAACAAAACUUUCAAGUACAAGAUUCGGUGAGUUUAGGUGGCCAUGAGCAGCUUAGGAGCCACAGAAGAGAGAAGCCAUGACUGACACAUCUCCCGGGGUAAAAUCAAGCAUGACCUUCAACUGAAAGACUUCUGACUCCAGCUGCCAUGCUCUCUCAUGUGUUGUGUUUUGCAUCACAUGAGAUGUGAUGCUGGCUUCUGUUCCUCCUUGGGGACCCCAAUAACAUUUCUCCUUUUUGCCCGACUACUGUUUCCACCAAAUGUCCAAGUAGGUUAGAUAUUGGCAUAUAUCUACUGGUAUGUGACUAUUUCAUCUCACUAUUCAUCUUCCUUCUAACCCUGCUCACCAUUUGCUAAUUCUGCCUUUCCAGUCCUUUAGCUGGAUGGGCGAAAGAAGCAUCAGCUUUAGCCAGUCUGUGGCUGACCAGGUGACCACAGCACCUGUGAGCAUGUGGAAAAUUACACAGAAGUCACAAUUAAUGAAACGUUGUAUAGUGGCCAGUGGAACAAAUUGGCCCAAUCCAGUCAAUGAGCCCUGUGGCCACAGAAAGUAACAAACUGUAACACUUUUCUCAGGAGUAUGUAUAUCCUUGCUAAUAAAUACUUGUACCAUCUUGAGCCAA